rnacentral:lncRNA from 1 species
UUUUUUCUUUUGAAAUUUUUUUUUUGCUGAUUUUUGAAUUUUCUUUCUUUUUCACCCUCUUCUCUUUUUUUUUUUUUUUUUACAUUUUUUAAUUGCCCCAGUUUGACUGUUUUGCUGAUUCUUAUGAUACAGCUGAAUGAGCUCCUUUGGUGCUUAAGAAGGCGGGUAAUCUCAUUAGGAAUCCCCUUCAACAUCAUCUUCCUCUGCCUCAAAUACAAGGAAU